UACGGGGGGGGCAAGCGUUGUUCGGAAUUACUGGGCGUAAAGGGCUCGUAGGCGGCCAACUAAGUCCGACGUGAAAUCCCCAGGCUCAACUUGGGAACUGCGUCGGAUACUGGAUGGCUUGAAUUCGGGAGAGGGAUGCAGAAUUCCAGGUGUAGCGGUGAAAUGCGUAGAUAUCUGGAGGAAUACCGGUGGCGAAGGCGGCAUCCUGGACCGACAUUGACGCUGAGGAGCGAAAAGCUAGGGGAGCCAAACGGG
rnacentral:rRNA from 1 species